rnacentral:rRNA from 1 species
GUCCACGCCCUAAACGAUGAUUACUCGAAGUGUGCGAUACACUGCACGCCUCUGAGCGAAAGCAUUAAGUAAUCCACCUGGGAAGUACGACCGCAAGGUUGAAACUCAAAGGAAUUGACGGGGGCCCGCACAAGCGGAGGAGCAUGUGGUUUAAUUCGAUGAUACGCGAGGAACCUUACCUGGGCUUGAAAGUUAGUGAAUGCCGUAGAAACAUGGCAGCAAGCAAUUGCACGAAACUAGGUGCUGCAUGGCUGUCGU